rnacentral:rRNA from 1 species
UACGUAGGGUGCGAGCGUUAAUCGGAAUUACUGGGCGUAAAGGGUGCGCAGGCGGUCUCGUAAGCUGGGUGUGAAAGCCCCGGGCUUAACCUGGGAAUGGCAUUCAGGACUGCGAGGCUUUGAGUGCGGCAGAGGGGAGGUGGAAUUCCACGUGUAGCAGUGAAAUGCGUAGAGAUGUGGAGGAACACCGAUGGCGAAGGCAGCCUCCUGGGCCAGCACUGACGCUCAUGCACGAAAGCGUGGGGAGCAAACAG